UACGUAGGGGGCUAGCGUUGUCCGGAUUCAUUGGGCGUAAAGGCGCGUAGGCGGCGGGGUAAGUCGGGUGUGAAAUCUCAGAGCUCAACUCUGAAAUGGCACUUGAUACUGCUCUGCUAGAGGACUGGAGAGGAGAUUGGAAUUCACGGUGUAGCAGUGAAAUGCGUAGAUAUCGUGAGGAAGACCGGUGGCGAAGGCGGAUCUCUGGACAGUUCCUGACGCUGAGGCGCGAAGGCCAGGGGAGCAAACGGG
rnacentral:rRNA from 1 species